rnacentral:tRNA from 1 species
GCCAAAAUAGCUCAAUAGGUAGAGCAACUGACUUGUAAUCAGUAGG